GGGGCUAGCGUUACUCGGAAUUAUUGGGCGUAAAGCGUGCGUAGGCUGCUUAGUAAGUCAAAAGUGAAAGCCUUGGGCUCAACCUAAGAAUUGCUUUUGAAACUACCAAGCUUGAGUACUGUAGGGGAUAGCGGAAUUCCUAGUGUAGGGGUGAAAUUCGUAGAUAUUAGGAGGAACACCGGAGGCGAAAGCGGUUAUCUGGACAGUUACUGACGCUGUUGCACGAAAGCGUGGGGAGCAAACAGGAUUAGAUACCCUGGUAGUCCACGCUGUAAACGAUGAGUGC
rnacentral:rRNA from 1 species